rnacentral:rRNA from 1 species
GAUGAACGCUGGCGGCGUGCCUAACACAUGCAAGUCGAGCGAUUCUCUUCGGAGAAGAGCGGCGGACGGGUGAGUAACGCGUGGGUAACCUGCCCUGUACACACGGAUAACAUACCGAAAGGUAUGCUAAUACGAGAUAAUAUACUUUUAUCGCAUGGUAGAAGUAUCAAAGCUUUUGCGGUACAGGAUGGACCCGCGUCUGAUUAGCUAGUUGGUAAGGUAACGGCUUACCAAGGCGACGAUCAGUAGCCGACCUGAGAGGGUGAUCGACCACAUUGGAACUGAGACACGGUCCAAACUCCUACGGGAGGCAGCAGUGGGGAAUAUUGCACAAUGGGCGAAAGCCUGAUGCAGCAACGCCGCGUGAGCGAUGAAGGCCUUAGGGUCAUAAAGCUCUGUCCUCAAGGAAGAUAAUGACGGUACUUGAGGAGGAAGCCCCGGCUAACUACGUGCCAGCCGCCGCGGUAA